CUGGUAGCUGGGAUGUCGCCAAGACUGGUGUUUAGAUGCCAGGCAUGAGUGAGUUUUAGGCUAGCGGGCUGAGCCAGUCCUUUUUAAUUCCUCUCUUUCUUCCUUUUUUCCGUCUUUUUUCUUUCUCUCUCCUUCCUCCCUUCCUUUCCUUCUUCCUCCCUUUUUUUGCCAGUAUUUCUCUUGAACUUAGUUCUUUUGGAUGCUGCUGCCUGCCGGAAUGAGAGUACUCGAAGUUUUGGUACCUACCUGUGCUUCCCGCUGUGACCUAAGGAUUCUCUCACAAGCCCACUGUCCCAUCCCGUCACUCUCUCUCCAUCCUCCGUCGUUGGUGGGAGAGCCCCAGAGUGCAGAGGCCAGGGCUGGGGACACACGGCUAAGAGGCAGCACCAGGAUUCCAACAUGGGCAGCCAGGCCCUGGCAUUGUAUUCUUUUUUUUAUUGUUAUUGGCCUCCCCCGAGGCGUGUGGAAGUUCAGGCCCAGGGAUCGGAACCAGCAGUGACUCGAUCCAUAGCAGCGGCCAUGCCAGAUCCUUAACCAUGAGGCCGCCAGGGAGCUAAUAGUCCUGACAUUGUGCUGGCAAGCAGGACACUGAACGGCCUCACUCAUCUUUCCAACUGCAAAGUCUGCAUUUUUCUAAGUCCUGCUUCGGGGGUGGGGUCGGGGGAACUGUUGUCUCCUUUAGCCUUUUAUGGUGUGGGCGUGUGGCUUUAGAGUCACAGCCAGAUUCCAGGGCAGCCUCUGUGCGUGUCCUGUGGCCGCGGGCCACUUGCUUCCUCUCUUCCUGUCCCGUUUCUUAGACUUGCUAGGAUCCCACGAGGUCAUUUUGCCUUCAUUCCUUCACAGACAUUUCCUGCGUGCUUGCUCUGGGGCCGGCUCGGGGGCAGGGUGCUGAACGGGACGCCUGUCUGGCCCGCGUGGCUCCGAGGUCACACACGGUUCAUUAUUUGUGCUCAGUCACAGCCACCCGGGAUCUGAGCUGCAUCUGUGACCUUCACCACAGCUGAUGGCAAUGCCGGAUCCUUAACCCACUGAACGAGGCCAGGGAUCGAACCUGUAUCCUCAGGGAUACUAGUUGGGUUCAUUACCGCUGAGCCACAAAGGGAGCUCCGGAGGAAAGGCCCUUUGACCUGGUGUUGGCGUGAACGAGCUCGCCCGAGGCAGGACCCCCAGGCAGGACCCCCAGCCCGGCAGAGCUUCGGUUUCCAAGAGCCGGGUGGGGGGAGGAUACCUGACUGGUGUGCACACGUGGUCUGAGAGGCGAGAGGAGAACCAGGGGAGUCGGGUCCUGUUGGGAGGAUGCCUAGAGAUGGGGACAUGUCCCCUGGGCGUGGACCAGGAGGUCCCCAUGAGCCGCCUGGAGGAACAACGUGGAAGCCGCGUUUCCUCGCCUCCCAGGCAUCUGCCUACUGCUCCUUCCCUCUGGCUGCCUCCUUUAGCUGGUUUCUCUCCCAGACCCCGUCUCUCUGUAGAGGGGGCUGGCGUGGCACCAGCUGUCUGGUGCUGGGGAUGCUGGGGACGGGGCCAGAGCCGGGAGAGCAGACUCUGCAUGUCCUGCCUUCUCCUGGGGAGACCAGGGGGCCUUGAAGAGGGAGCCGGGUCUGUCCUCAUCCUUGUCCUGCAGAGAGAGGCACAGACACUGGGGCACAACCGGGUGACAAUUGCCUGGCAUCUCCUUGGGGUGUUGCUCCUUGAGGACAGAUUCCUGACUGGAUCCCUCACCCCCGGCCCAGAGCCUGGUACAUGAAAGGAUCCCAAGAGGGGCCCCUGCUGGCUCCCCAGGCUCAGGAGGUGAAGGGGGCUGUCCGGUGGGGAUGGGCUGAGGUGUGUGGUUCGGUUUGGUUGGAAUUUCCUGCUGGCAUCUCACUGCAUGUCAGGCUUCCCAGUUAUGAGGGUCCUGACCCCACGAGGACCCCUCUAACUCCUUGCUGCAGCUUUAGACAGUGCUGUGCAACAGAUACGCGUGAGGGUAUUAAAAUAAAACCAAAUAUGGGAGUUCCCAUUGUGGCUCAGCUGUAACGAGCCCAACUAGUAUCCGUGAGGAUGCAGGUUCGAUCCCUGGCCUUGCUCAGUGCAUUAAGGAUCCAGCGUUGCCGUGAGCUGUGGUGUAGGUCGCAGACGUGGCUCAGAUGUGGUGUGGCUGUGGCUGUGCCCUAGGCUCGCAGCUACAGCUCUGAUUCGACUCUUAGCCUGGGAACCUGUGCAUGCCACAAGUGCUGCCCUAAAAAAAAGCUUAAAUAGGGAGUUCCCGUCGUGGCUCAGUGGUUAACGAAACCGACUAGGAGCCAUGAGGUUGUGGGUUCGAUCCCUGGCCUUGCUCAGUGGGUUAACGACCCUGCAUUGCCGUGAGCUGUGGUGUAGGUCACAGAUGUGCCUUGGAUGUGGCGUUGCUGUGGCUCUGGCGUAGGCCAGCGGCUAUAGCUCCGAUUAGACCCCUAGCCUGGGAACCUCCGUAUGCCACAGGAGCAGCCCUAGAAAAGGCAAAAA